GCCUGGCUGGCUCAAUGGUAGAGCAUCAGACUUCUACUAACAAUGAAGAUAUUCCAAUCUGAAGGUUGUGGGUUCGAGUCCCACGUCGGGUG